rnacentral:pre_miRNA from 1 species
CGGGGUCAAAUUGACUCUAGUAGGGAGUCCGACUUUUAAGGGCGACUCCCUAACGGAGUCAGAUUGACUUCCUU